CGCGGGGUGGAGCAGUCUGGUAGCUCGUCGGGCUCAUAACCCGAAGGUCAUAGGUUCGAAUCCUAUUCCCGCAA
rnacentral:tRNA from 1 species